CAGAACGCAAACACCGAUUCCCGUAGGAUCACCGAAGUUAAGCAACGUCGAACCUAUUCAGUACAUAGAUAAGUGACCUCUCGGGAAGUUUGG